rnacentral:lncRNA from 10 species
GAGCUAUAAGACAACAGGACUGAACAGGGAGCCAACUGUUUCUUUGAACAGUAAAUCAGGAACACCAAUGGACCAAAAUGAACACAGUCACUGGGGCGAGAGGAAGGUUAAACGUGCAAUUUGGCUGCCUCUAAGCAAGCUCCAGCGCGGUGUAUCAGGAGCUGCUUGGCUGCUGUUUUCAGAAUAUAGAAAUGUGUAAUGUAAUGCCUGCUUCCUUUUAAGUACAAGUGUCCAUUGCAUGUCUACUGUGAGGCCAUAAUUUCACUGGCCUACAGAAAAUAAGAUUAAAUGUCCAUAAAUUUUGGCCAA